UACGGCCGCAUCACAUUGAAAAACCAGUUCCCGUACGAUUACCGAAGUUAAGCAACAUCCAGCCUGGUCAUUACUUUGAUGGGUAACUACUUGGGAAUACCAGGUGCUGUG